rnacentral:ncRNA from 1 species
UAAAAAAAUGAUAAGAACAUGAUGUUGGUUCAGAUUAAACGCUAAAUAAGGACAUGACACAUGCAAAUCAAACGUUUAUUAUAGAUAAAAUAAUAAAUAUGUGGUGUACACGUGAGUAAUUAUUAGGAAUUUAGAACUAUAAGAUAAGUUAAAUGCUUAAUAAUCCCCCCCCCCCCCAGCUAAGCUGGGGGGGGGGGGAUAAAUGAAUAAUAUUGUAUUAUUUGCUUAUAGUCAAGCCAAUAAUGGUUUAGGUAGUAGGUAGAGUAAGAGUUUACCUAGCCAACGAUCCAUAAUCGAUAAUUAAAGUUAGAACGAUCACGUUGACUCUGAAACAUAGUCAAUAUCUAAAUGAUACAGCAGUGAGGAAUAUUGGGCAAUGAUCGAAAGAUUGACCCAGUUACUUAUUAGGAUGAUAUAUAAAAAUUAUAAUUUAAUAUAUUAAAUUAAUAAUUUAAUAUAAAAAUUAUAUAAAAAUUAUAUAAAUUGAUUAAAAAUAAAGUCCAUAAAUAGUGAAAAUAAUGAUAUUAGCUACCAUAAUAAAUAUUAUGGAUAAAAUUAAUAUUUAAUUUUAUUUUAAUAGUCCUAACCAAAAUUUGUGCCAGCAGCUGCGGUAAGACAAUGGGGGCUAGCGUUAAUCAUAAUGGCUUAAAGGGUCCGUAGAAUGAAAAUAUCAAAAUUUUUUAGAGUUAAUAAAUUUAAUUAAAGAAUUAUAAUAGUAAGGAUGAAAUGAUAAUAAUCAUUAUAAGACUGGUAUGUGUGAAGGUAUUAAUUAAAUAUUAACUGACAUUGAGGGACGAAAGCUAGAGUAGCAAUACGGAUUCGAUACCCGAGUAGUUCUAGCUGUAAACUAUGAACACCAUUUAUUUCAACAAAAUAAAUAAAUGAAAAUGAAAGUGUUCCGCCUGAAGAGUACGUUCGCAAGAAUGAAACUCAAGACAAUAGACGGUUACAGACUUAAGCAGUGGAGCAUGUUAUUUAAUUCGAUAAUCCCCGACUAACCUUACCAUAUUUUGAAUAUUACCCCCCAUCCCGCUAAGCGGGAUGGGGGUAAUACAGGCGUUACAUCGUUGUCUUCAGUUCGUGCCGCAAGGUCUUAGAUUAAGUUCAUUAACGAACAUAACUCCAUAUAUAUACUUUUUAUUAUAUAUAAUAUUUAUACCAUUUUGGUAAAAUGAAAGGAAUUAAGACAAAUCAUGAUGAUCCUUAUAAUAUGGGUAAUAGACGUGCUAUAAUAAAAUGAUAACAAAGUUAUAUAAUUAAUUAUAAUAUAAAUUAAUAACAUAAAACAUUUUAAUCUUUAAUAUAUUUAUAUAUUAUAUAUAGUAUGGAUUAUAAUCUGAAAUUCGAUUAUAUGAAAAAAGAAUUGCUAGUAAUACGUAAAUUAGUAUGUUACGGUGAAUACUCUAACUGUUUCGCACUAAUCACUCAUCACGCGUUGAAACAUGAUAUUAUCCUAAUAUAUAUUAUUAUUUUAUUAUCUAUUUUUAUUAAUUUAUUUUAAUAUUUUAAUAUAUAUAUAUAAGAAAUAUUAUGAAUUAAUGCGAAGUUGAAAUACAGUUACCGUAGGGGAACCUGCGGUGGGCUUAUUAUAAU